GUGCAUCUUUUGCGCAAGGUAUCGAAGGGUGCUAUGUUCAAAAAUCUGAAACUAGAGCUCAAAAUUUGAAAAAAAUUGUUAAAAACAGCGGGUUUGGCCUAUUCCAUGGCUUCUAGAGAAAAAUAAUGAGGGGUGUCACGGGGUAUGACUAUAUAGGUCUUGUAGAGGAGAAACAGGCGCAUCUUUUGCGCAAGAUAUCAAAGGGCGAUAUGUUCAAAAAUCUGAAACUAGAGCUCAAAAUUUGAAAAAAAAUUGUUGAAAACAAGGGGAAUGGCCUAUUCCAUGGCUUCUGGAGAAAAAUAAUGAGGGGUGUCACGGGGUAUGACUAUAUAGGUCUUGUAGAGGAGAAACAGGCGCAUCUUUUGCGCAAGAUAUCGAAGGGCGAUAUGUUCAAAAAUCUGAAACUAGAGCUCAAAAUUUGAAAAAAAAAUAUUAAAAACAGGGGGUUGGCCUAUUCCAUCGCUUCUAGAGAAAAAUAAUGAGGGGUGUCACGGGGUAUGACUAUAUAGGUCUUAAAGAGGAGAAACAGGCGCAUCUUUUGCGCAAGGUAUCGAAGGGCGCUAUGUUCAAAAAUCUGAAACUAGAGCUCAAAAUUUGAAAAAAAAUUGUUAAAAACAGGGGGGUUGGCCUAUUCCAUGGCUUCUAGAGAAAAAUAAUGAGGGGUGUCACGGGGUAUGACUAUAUAGGUCUUGUAGAGGAGAAACAGGCGCAUCUUUUGCGCAAGGUAUCGAAGGGCGCUAUGUUCAAAAAUCUGAAACUAGAGCUCAAAAUUUGAAAAAAAAUUUGUUAAAAACAGGGGGGUUGGCCUAUUCCAUGGCUUCUAGAGAAAAAUAAUGAGGGGUGUCACGGGUUAUGACUAUAUAGGUCUUGUAGAGGAGAAACAGGCGCAUCUUUUGCGCAAGGUAUCGAAGGGCGCUAUGUUCAAAAAUCUGAAACUAGAGCUCAAAAUUUGAAAAAAAAUU